UACGAAGGGGGCUAGCGUUGCUCGGAAUUACUGGGCGUAAAGCGCACGUAGGCGGAUCGUUAAGUCGGGGGUGAAAUCCUGGAGCUCAACUCCAGAACUGCCUUCGAUACUGGCGAUCUCGAGUCCGGAAGAGGUGAGUGGAACUCCUAGUGUAGAGGUGGAAUUCGUAGAUAUUAGGAAGAACACCAGUGGCGAAGGCGGCUCACUGAUCCGGUACUGACGCUGAGGUGCGAAAGCGUGGGGAG
rnacentral:rRNA from 1 species